AUGGUGUCAGCAGACAGCACACAGGAGGAGUUAAGUUUGUCCAGUAAACUUGUUCGAAGCGGUCAGGGGGUUGUUGUUACUGGAGAGACAGUGAAGAUGUCGUGUGUCUCAUCUGGUUUUACAGUGACAAAGUAUUACAUUCACUGGCUCCGCCAGAGACCAGACGGGGCUCUGGAGUGGAUCGGGAGGAUGAAUACUGGUACAAACUCUACUGACUAUGGAAGCUCCUUUCAGGUCCGUUUCUUGAUGACAGAGGAUGUUCCCAGCAGCACUCAGUACCUCCAGAUCAGCAGCCUGACAGCUGAAGAUUCUGCUGUUUACUUCUGUGCUCAGAAGAAUCUG